UGGGGAAUAUUGGACAAUGGGCGAAAGCCUGAUCCAGCCAUGCCGCGUGUGUGAAGAAGGUCUUCGGAUUGUAAAGCACUUUAAGUUGGGAGGAAGGGCAGUAAGCGAAUACCUUGCUGUUUUGACGUUACCGACAGAAUAAGCACCGGCUAACUCUGUGCCAGCAGCCGCGGUAAUACAGAGGGUGCAAGCGUUAAUCGGAAUUACUGGGCGUAAAGCGCGCGUAGGUGGUUCGUUAAGUUGAAUGUGAAAGCCCCGGGCUCAACCUGGGAACUACAUCCAAAACUGGCGAGCUAGAGUAGGGCAGAGGGUGGUGGAAUUUCCUGUGUAGCGGUGAAAUGCGUAGAUAUAGGAAGGAACACCAGUCGCGAAGGCGACCACCUGGGCUCAUACUGACACUGAGGUGCGAAAGAGUGGGGAGCAAACAGG
rnacentral:rRNA from 1 species